AGCGAACGCUGGCGGCAGGCCUAACACAUGCAAGUCGAACGGCAGCACAGUAAGAGCUUGCGCUUACGGGUUGCGAGUGGCGGACGGGUCAGGAAAACAACGGGAUCUACUUUUUCGUGUGGGAUAACGUAGGGAAACUUAAGCUAAGACCGCAGACCACCUACGGGGGAAGGGGGUGGAUCGUCGGACCGGGCGCGAAUGGAUGAGCCGAUGUCGUAUUAGAUGGUUGGCGGGGUAAAGGCCAACCAAGUCGACGAUCCGUAGCUGGUGUGAGAGGAUGAUCGGCGACAUUGGAACUGAGCCACGGUCCUGAGUACUACGGGAGGCAGCAGUGGCGUAUAUUGGACAGUGGUCGCAAGUAUGAUCCAGUCAUACCGCGUGUGUGACGAAGGCCUUGGGGUUGUAAAGACCUUUUGUUGGGAAAGAAAAGCAGCAGGUUAAUACGCCGCUGGUCUGACGGUAACCAAAGAAUAAGCACCGGCUAACUUCGUG
rnacentral:rRNA from 1 species